rnacentral:lncRNA from 1 species
CGCCUCCACCGGCGCGGGCCAAUGGCAAGGCGCGCCGGCUGCGUGACCCGCCCACCCGCCCACCGGGUGAGGGGCCGCGGGGCCGGGCUGAGGUGGCGUGUGGGUGGCCGUGCCCCUCUGCCUGGAGCCGCCUCAAAUCAACUUUAUUGACAGUAGGCGGUGACCGACAGGCGGGGUGCACGCUGGGCACACGUGCCUGGUCGGUGUUACUUGAAGCGUGGGGACUAGAAGUCAGACCCUGAGGAGCAUGAUCUCUGGAAGCUGGAGAGACCUUAAGAGUUAGGCCAACCUGUUGUGGGUGCUGGAAUCCUUUGGGCACCAAGAAGUGCUUGCACACGCUCUACUGAUGGGGAACUUAACACUUCAUGAGAAAACAGCCUGCUGCAUGGCAAGAUUACACCAUUUUGAAGCGAAACUGCUGUGAUGACUGAUGUCUGCAUACCAACUCGUUCCCAUUCCCACAACAAGGUCAAGAAACAAUGC